UUGGUCUAUCGACGUACAAAGCACAGGCGGCUAUGUCGCCUCCGUAGAAUUUUCUGUAACGGAUUAAGUUUUCAUUUAUGUGUUCCUUAAAUCCUUGCAUUCACGUAAUUUAUUCCAAUCGUCCAAUUCUCUAGCAUUUAAUCGAGCUCAUCAUCUUCCAAUGUAACCGACUAACCGGCGGAAGCUCUACCAUAAAGUUUGGUGCUUCCAACGAUGAACAGCACCACCUCUACGAAGUUGAAAAGAAUAUUCUCUGCAAUUUACCAGCUCCAACAAUGGUGAAUCUACAUCCAUUGAUUAUAGGAAUUCUUCAGGUUUAGGGGUGAUACUUGAUGAUUGUAACUUUCAUGACUGUUCGUCUUGAUAGCUUCGAUUCAGAUAGAACUUUGUCCCUGGUGAGUUCAAAAACCUUACCUCAGCUAAGAUAAAAGUUUUUUUUGUUGCUUACUAUUACCUCAUUUGACUCUCUACUUUCGAGGUGGAGUCAUUACGUGUUGUGUGUGGAGAAGCAGGUACUCUUAUGGCUCAAAAGGUACCCUCGAUGAUUGUAAAGGAAAAGCCUUCGACCCCUCCUGAUCCUACCGAGAGUCGAUCACUUUCGUUGAUGUCUUAUUUAUGCAUUACCGCUCUACGGUGACCAUACCACAAAAAAAUAAAAACAAUAAGCCUACGGAAGCGUCUCCAGUUCUUAUUACCGGCCUCCCGUCUACUGAUAUAGGACGGUACCGUACUGCUCUCGACUCUCUUAGUUUGUGUUUACGGUCUUCUUUCAUGAUUUUGAUCUUUGGUUACAAACUCUAGCUCGAGCGUCUUAGAGAGCAUUAGAAAGAAGGAACAUAUGAAAUUUCCUUGUGUUUACGUUUAUUGGUUGUUUAGUUUUCAUGAGAGAUGCUUGACUCCUCUAUUUUUUUGGGUAAAUUUUGAGGAAACUGUGAGACGGAUAUUUGGUUGUGCUUAAAUUAUCUUAUGGUGUUGUUUAUUUGA